GAUGAACGCUGGCGGCGUGCCUAAUACAUGCAAGUCGAGCGAACAGACGAGGAGCUUGCUCCCCUGACGUUAGCGGCGGACGGGUGAGUAACACGUGGAUAACCUACCUAUAAGACUGGGAUAACUUCGGGAAACCGGAGCUAAUACCGGAUAAUAUAUUGAACCGCAUGGUUCAAUAGUGAAAGACGGUUUUGCUGUCACUUAUAGAUGGAUCCGCGUCGCAUUAGCUAGUUGGUAAGGUAACGGCUUACCAAGGCAACGAUGCGUAGCCGACCUGAGAGGGUGAUCGGCCACACUGGAACUGAGACACGGUCCAGACUCCUACGGGAGGCAGCAGUAGGGAAUCUUCCGCAAUGGGCGAAAGCCUGACGGAGCAACGCCGCGUGAGUGACGAAGGUCUUCGGAUCGUAAAACUCUGUUAUUAGGGAAGAACAAAUGUGUAAGUAACUAUGCACGUCUUGACGGUACCUAAUCAGAAAGCCACGGCUAACUACGUG
rnacentral:rRNA from 1 species